UACGUAGGCAGCAAGCGUUGUUCGGAAUUACUGGGCGUAAAGCGCGCGUAGGCGGCUUUGUAAGUUAGAGGUGAAAGCCCGGAGCUCAACUCCGGAACUGCCUUUAAGACUGCAUCGCUUGAAUCCAGGAGAGGUGAGUGGAAUUCCGAGUGUAGAGGUGAAAUUCGUAGAUAUUCGGAAGAACACCAGUGGCGAAGGCGGCUCACUGGACUGGUAUUGACGCUGAGGUGCGAAAGCGUGGGGAGCAAACAGG
rnacentral:rRNA from 1 species